UGGGAACAGAUGGACAGGCUGAAAAGGACGAAGGAGAAAUUGUGGCAGGCAAGUCAGAAUCUGAACAAUGUCCUGAUGAAGAGGAGGAAAUGGAGUCUAAAGCAGACAGAAGGACAGGUGGCUUAAGAUGUUUCCAAGGAAACAGAGAGACCUCGGAGGAUGAGCCUAGUGAACUGGGGGCUGCUGUUAUUACUUCCUCUGAGCCUGUAUUUCUUGUGCCUCAGCUCAGCUCACAACCUCAGUACCUGGACUGUGACUUUGAUGUGGAGCUAACAGCAGAAGUGAUAGUCGAGAAUGGCGCAUCUCUUGCUUUGUUGACAUCUGUUACCCCAAAUCUUGGUUACCAGAAGCCAGGAUCCUUCUUAAAUGGAAAUUUUCUCUUCCCACCAUCUUUAAAGAAAAAGAGAGUUUCUAUAGAACGUUUUCUGCCUGCAGGCUCUUUUCCUGGAUGUUACUCAAGUGUGACUCAAGCCUCAGGACUGACCUGUUCCCUCAAAAACUCUGAUAGGGUCAUAGAGAUGGCCAAAAGCCCUCUACCCUCAUCACCCUCCAACUCACCAUCAUCUCCUUCAUCUGCUCCCUCUUCCCCCUCGUCCUCCCCCUCAUCUUCAUCUCCUGGUGGAAUGGGUACAAACUACCGUGAGGAUGAGGACAGAGGCAAUGCUGGAGACAGCAGGGUCAACAAAGGAACUGGAGACUUUGUGUCAUCCACUUCAUCCUCUUUGGUGCCAUCGUCAAUGCCAGUGCCACCGUCUUCUUCCUCUAAUCCCUCACUUCAUGCAUCUUCAUCAUUCACACAUCCAUGCAAUGAUGGACAGAGGGAGAGUUUAGAGAAUGACAUAUACGACCCCUUUCACCCAACAGAGGGUGAGGGGGAGAGAGACCGGGUGUCCACUGAGGACGAGGAGGAAGAGGUUGAUAAGUAUGAUCCAUUUGAACCGACAGGUUCUCCAGCCUCUGAAACAGAGGAGGAAAAAAGAUGUGUGGAUGAGGAGAAUGAAGGAGGAAGCAGCAUUAAUAGCAGAGGGAAUGUUGCAAAAGCUGAUAGAGCAUUGGAAAAGGGGACGCCUGCUGGCACAGAGGGGGGUCAUCCAGAUUCAACAGAAAUUGACGCCCCAUCUUCAAUGUUCUAUAAUGUCCCUUUAGAACUCAACAGUAAGCGAUCCAUCAAAGACAGAAUAAGGGAACAGGGAAAAAAUCAAAGAGAACGGGCAACAGACUCUGAACACUCUGAGAUAGAAGAAGGAGAGAUAGUGGGAGCCAAUGAAAGAGGAAGAGAACGAGUGAUUGAGAGAAGGAGGGAGGUGUUGCUUCCAUCUUCAAGCAGUCCCUCUUACCUUCAAGCAGGUAUCCCAAAACCUGAGAGGAUCUUAAGGGUUUUAGAGGGUGAUGGGUUUGUAUCUGUCCGUGCUGAUGAAGAAUGGGAGAGGGAGCCAGUAGCUUCUGUGGGCGUCGGAGAUCUGAGACGAAAACUGACAAGUAGGAGGAAAGAGAGGUUCAGAUCAUGCCCUUCUUCUGCAUCCAUAUCACCUCCACCUGUUCCUGUUUUGCCUUUGCCCUCUCCUUCCUUUACCAAUUCUCCACCUCUGUCCACUGAUAAAGGGAGGAGUCGCAAAUCCUCCAAGAGUUCAAAGGACAGGGACAGACGCAAGCGGAAAGAGGGAAGAGUAGAGAAGGAAAAGAGGAAAAAAAGGAAAGAAGAAAAGGAGUCAGCUGAGAGUAAAAGAGAAAGCAAAGAGAGGGACAGUGAAAAAAGGAGUAUAAAAGAGAACAAAGACAAGGAUAGGGAUAGAGGGAGAAGUAGCCGAAGUGAUAGCCACAAGAGGAAAAAGAGACACAGGAGCACUCCAGAACAUUCCUCCCGCUCCCACUCCCAGAAUGCCUCACGACACACACAGAGUCAGAGAUCUUGGUCCAGCCACUCUGAGGAUCGCCACAAAGAUAGAGACCGAGAUAAAGAGAGGGAAAGAGAACCAGAAAGGAACCAUGAAAGAGACAGGGAUAGGGACCGGUGGCGAGAUGACAGGGGUAGAGAACGAGACGGAGACUCCAGGAGAAGAGAUGAACGAAGGAGAGAUAGGGAUGAUGAUAUCAGAAGGUCAAGCAGCCGAGAGAGAGGCAGUACAAAGAGGAGCAGAGGAAGUGACAGUGACAGGAGAGAACGAGAGAAAGAGAUGGUAGGAGAAAGAGAUCGAGACAGGGACAGGAGAAGAGAUAUUAGACCUGUUGUACCCCCGUCCAUUCAGGAUCUCAAUGGCUCUGAUCUUUUUGCGAUCAAACGUACCAUCACUGUUACCACCACUACAACAACCACCACACUACCAGGUUCACCACCCCAUAGCCAACGGCACUCCCGCAGCCGAUCCCAGAGCUCAGACAAACAUCGUAAGAGGAAGAAGAAACGAAAGAGACGAUCAGAUGAUGAGGAAAGAAAGGACGAGGAGCAUAGGAGCAGGUCCCGGCCCACCUCCCUCACUCCUCUUCGUUAUCAUGGAUAUGAAUCAGAUCGACUCUCAGAUCGUCCUGAGGUAGACCUGCUCUCUUUGGAUGGGGAAGCACUGGAUUCAGACUACCCUUCACUAGAGGACUCACCACUACUUCCUCCUCCUCCUGAGCCCCCUCUACCCAAUCCUAAAAUUAAAUCCGGAGCGCCCAAAACUAGCC
ensembl:lncRNA